GACGAACGCUGGCGGCGUGCCUAAUACAUGCAAGUAGAACGCUGAAGGAGGAGCUUGCUUCUCUGGAUGAGUUGCGAACGGGUGAGUAACGCGUAGGUAACCUGCCUGGUAGCGGGGGAUAACUAUUGGAAACGAUAGCUAAUACCGCAUAAUAGUAGAUGUCGCAUGACAUUUGCUUAAAAGGUGCAAUUGCCUCACUACCAGAUGGACCUGCGUUGUAUUAGCUAGUUGGUGAGGUAACGGCUCACCAAGGCAACGAUACAUAGCCGACCUGAGAGGGGGAUCGGCCACACUGGGACUGAGACACGGCCCAGACUCCUACGGGAGGCAGCAGUAGGGAAUCUUCGGCAAUGGACGGAAGUCUGACCGAGCAACGCCGCGGGAGUGAAGAAGGGUUUCGGAUCGUAAAGCUCGGUUGUAAGAGAAGAACGAGUGUGAGAGUGGAAAGUUCACACUGUGACGGUAUCUGACCAGAAAGGGACGGCUAACUACGUG
rnacentral:rRNA from 1 species